AGCGAACGCUGGCGGCAGGCCUAACACAUGCAAGUCGAACGAACCUUUCGGGGUUAGUGGCGGACGGGUGAGUAACACGUUGGAACGUGCCUUUAGGUUCGGAAUAACUCAGGGAAACUUGUGCUAAUACCGAAUGUGCCCUUCGGGGGAAAGAUUAAUCGCCUUUAGAGCGGCCCGCGUCUGAUUAGCUAGUUGGUUGAGGUAAUGGCUCACCAAGGCGACGAUCAGUAGCUGGUCUGAGAGGAUGAUCAGCCACAUUGGGACUGAGACACGGCCCAAACUCCUACGGGAUGCAGCAGUGGGGAAUCUUGCGCAAUGGGCGAAAGCCUGACGCAGCCAUGCCGCGUGAAUGAUGAAGGUCUUAGGAUUGUAAAAUUCUUUCACCCGUGACGAUAAUGACGGUACCCGGAGAAGAAGCCCCGGCUAACUUCGUG
rnacentral:rRNA from 1 species